GAGGGGAGCGGGGAGCUGGCAGGCAGCCAGCUACCAUCAGAAUUAGCUCAUUGUUCAAUAUAACCAGUGCUGGCAGCCAAAUCCCAGCCCGAGAGAGAGGGAGACUUUCCCCCAGCCACCCCCCACCCCUUUUUCUCCACGACUGCACUUUGGAAGAGGUGCAGUCAUUCCUCCCCACACCCCCUACCCUCUCUCCACUCCCCCAACUAUAAAUUCCCUCUGUAGCAUGCUGCCCUUUUUUAAUCCACAUUUGUGUUUCAGAUCAUGUAGAAAGGACAGAAAGUGAGCAGGGAGCGGGGGCUUUUGUCUAUCCUUGUGCUACCUGAGAGAAACUGCAAUCCUAAGACUUAACAGAAUCUAAAAAUGCACCCAUCUAUAAAGACAAACUUUUUGAAGUUAAGGAGAUUUGCCAUACAGUGAUGGAUGUACCUUGAAAGUCUCCGCAUGUUGAAUCUUUGAUUUUCUUGCAAUUUUUGAAUAAAAAUCUGAAAUCUCUC